rnacentral:tRNA from 2 species
CUCGCCGUAGUUCAAUGGAUAGAACGAGUGCCUCCUAAGCGCUAGAUAUGAGUUCGAUUCUCGUCGGCGGGACCA